AGUGAACGCUGGCGGUAGGCCAAACACAUGCAAGUCGAACGGCAGCACAGUAAGAGCUUGCUCUUACGGGUGGCGAGUGGCGGACGGGUGAGGAAUACAUCGGAAUCUACUUUUUCGUGGGGGAUAACGUAGGGAAACUUGCGCUAAUACCGCAUACGACCUACGGGUGAAAGCAGGGGAUCUUCGGACCUUGCGCGAUUGAAUGAGCCGAUGUCGGAUUAGCUAGUUGGCGGGGUAAAGGCCCACCAAGGCGACGAUCCGUAGCUGGUCUGAGAGGAUGAUCAGCCACACUGGAACUGAGACACGGUCCAGACUCCUACGGGAGGCAGCAGUGGGGAAUAUUGGACAAUGGGCGCAAGCCUGAUCCAGCCAUACCGCGUGGGUGAAGAAGGCCUUCGGGUUGUAAAGCCCUUUUGUUGGGAAAGAAAAGCAGCAGGUUAAUACCCCGCUGUUCUGACGGUACCCAAAGAAUAAGCACCGGCUAACUUCGUG
rnacentral:rRNA from 1 species